GAGCAGGACCUAACCCCAAGGGCUCCCCAGGGCCCCCGCUUAUGCGGUUAUACCACAGAGCCCCUCAUGCCCCCUGGCACCACGCCUGAAGAAACAGCCUUUCCACAGCUGCUAGCGAGUUCCCCAAACUGCAGGGCACCACGUGAGGCUGUGAUGUUUAUUCGAGGGACACAAGACAAAUCAGGCUGUGAAUUAGGGCUGAGGGCUGGGAGGUGUCGGCAUUCUGGAAGAUUCUUAGCAUGGUAUUAUCUCCUGCGUCGCCGGAGGCUUGGCGUCCCUGGUGUUUACUCUCUAAAGGCCAGUCACGUCCCCCAGGGACUCUGACAACCCUGACUCCACUCCCCGAAUUUCCAAAUGGUCCAUGAGGGGGUGGCAGUGCUCUGGUCGAGAACACUGGGCCAGGGGACCCUUGCUUGACGGCGGUACGUGUUUCUAUCGGCUGAUGGGUUCGUGUGGUGUCUGGUAAGAAUGGGGAGCUUUAGGCCAAGCUCCCGGCACCAGGUAGGGUCUGAGGAAUGUUCUGCACAGGUAAUGUGGUAUUUCUGGCCCUUCCUUUGAGGCUGAUCGUCGGUCACCCCCGGAGCUCCUGACGCAGCCUCUGUCUGCAGACAGUCAAUAAACGUCGAUACUCGCUCCUGACAGAUGUCUGGGUGUCUGCCGUUCUGUGCUGGGCUCUAGCCCACGGCGACUGCUUUUGCAGACCUGGAUUUUUCUUCCCUUUUGAUUGCAGGGGCCGAGGCGGGCAGGGGAACCACCAGCCCACAGUCACCUUGCUAUAGGGAAGACUUUCAAACGGUUGGAACCCAAGCUCUGUGGGCUGGGCUCCUUUGAAAGGCAGCCCAGCCCUAUUCUCCUGGCCAUGGGAGCGGGCCCACUAGCUCCGUGGGGCCCUUCUGCCAAGGCCGUGGCAUGCCCGGGGCUGCUGUGUGGGUUCGUGCUGCAGCCAGGAAGCGCUGGGGCCUCUGGGGCGCAAUCAGCGGAACUUCAGGAAACUCGAGGAGGGAAAGGCCAUGAGUGGCUUCUUAGGGUUUGGCUCCUGGCCUGACCUGCCUCCAGCCAGCUGACUGUGCCCAGUGAACUGGCUCUGCGGGCCGACUUUCAAAGUCACGGGGGCAGCACAGCAGCACAAUUUAAAACAUUGCUUGUCUCCAGUUUGCCCAGCAAGGAGAGUUCGUGACGGGCAGUAGGAACGAACACGUGUGCCACCAAAGGUAAUUCUGAAAACAGGAUGUUCUUGAUAAUAGCUGGAUUAGUAACACAAGGGAGAGUGUCCUGAGUUCCCCUUCCUCAUCCGUGUGAACAGCGGUCUCUCUCACUUUUGUUGUUGUUUAGGGCUAGGCUGUGAGCAGGAAAGCAAGUGGUUUGUGCAAUGAUCCUCCCACCACAUAUUAUAAAUACAUGACAGGCCUCCCUCAUCCCCCGGGCAGGCUCCUGCCCCUGGAGGGUGGAUGGGGAUGGUAGGUGAGGGAAUUCUUUCUUUCUUUCUUUAAAAGAUUUAUUUACUUAUUCACAAGAGACACACACACACACACAGAGGCAGAGACACAGGCAGAGGGAGAAGGAGGCUCCCCUCAGGGAGCCUGAUAUGGGACUUCAUCCUGCGACCCCAGGAUUACACCCUGAGCUGAGCCGAAGGCAGACGCUCAACCGCUGAGCCACCCAGGCAUCCCAGGAGGUGAGGAAAUUCUUAAUGGGCUUCUGGUGGUUUUGCUUCUGUUGCUGGGAGAAAUCUGGGCAGAGAAAGUUUUCUGGGCUGAGGCACUUCUUAAGGGGCUUCUCCUUGGCAGGACUCUGAGGUGCUCUGGGGAGGAGCGGGGGAAUUUGUGGGAUCUUCCCAUCCCCUUUCUGGGCCGGCCUUCAUCCUGGACCUGUGUGUCAUGUGUGCUCACUGCUCAUCUUCUGGGACAUGCCUUCCAACUGAUAUGCUCUGGGGCUGUUGAGGGGUACUCUGUGGAAGUGCAGCAUGUUACGGAUGCAUGGGCAUCUCUGAAAAAAUCCACAGAUGUUGAGCAUGGAAGAAGCCAGACUUGGAUUAAGACGUCCCUCAGUUAGCUGUCUUGGAACCCGAUUACUCUCUGGCUCCAAGGCUUCUCGAGGAGCAGUGAUGACAAAUUUCAGGUGUUCCCACUGAGCAGGGUGGGGUUUAUGAUGCGGAGUGUGGUGUGGUGGAAAGAGUUUGGGGUUUGGAAUCAACCAACCCGAGACCAAUCACAGGAGGCCACCACUUAGUCACUCGGCAAAUGGCCUGGGUUUUGAUUUCCUUGUCUCUCAGAGGGGAGAUAAUAAUACCUUCCCUGAAAUGAUUGCCUGGAGAAUCAAGAGAGACAUGUGAAAAGCCUUUGGAACCUGUAAAAUGCUCUCCACAUGUCGUCUUUAUUAUUCUCUGCUCUUAGAAGAUGAACUUUAAAAGUCUCUUUCAACUGUGAUGAAUUCUGUGAUGUUAAACUCUUCCUGGGACAAAGCUCUCUGUUCUUUUUUUCCCCACGAGACACUACAAACUCAAGAGGUGCGUGGAGUCCAGGUGCAACCCAGUGAGUUGACGCUCUUUUUUUGUUUGAUUCAGUGCAAUUUUACAUUUUCCCUCUCUCUUUCUUCCCUUUGUUUUUGUUUUAGGUUGAACCGAACAGAUCCUUAAAGUAACAGUGGCUCUGGGAAGAGCCAUACAGGGCUCUGGCCCAAGCUGUGGUAUCAGACAUGAGGUCAGCAGCAGAGAAGCUGUCUGGGCAGGCUGCUGGAAGGGGGGCCACCUGGGUUUGGUGCUUCUUGAUGAGGUGUUUCUCCAGGAAUGACUUAUGUAUGCUAGGCGAAAGAAUUGAGUGUUGAGUUUGGCUAAUGCCCACUAGAGAGCUGUCAUUACAUCAAGGUUAGUUCAUGACUCAAAGGAUGUCUUGAAUAUCAAUUGUUUCUUCCUUCUGUGAGGGGGAGGCAUAUUUUAUCAGUCUUGUCGGGAAAGAGGGUAGGGUUGAGGCUUCGAUAUAUAGAUGGAAGCAUCAGAGUGUAGUAGAAAGACUACUGGCCUUGGAGUCUUAAAACCUGGGUGGACUUGCACAUCACUAACUGCCUGUGUGACUCAGUGGAAAUCACUUAACCUCUCUGGUCCACAGGAGUUUUAUAUAUAUAUAUGGAGUAUAAUUACAUUUGGGGAUAGUUAUGUGUAUCACGUUGUACAGUAAUUGCCUUUGUAAACAAUGAAUAUUUCAAAAAUUGAUGUGUAAUAUACAUUCAGAAAACUGCCCACAUCACCAGCACAGAGCUUGAUGAACUAUCCCAACCUAAUUCCACUCAUGUAACCACCAGCCCGAUGAAGAACUAUUGUAUCACCAGACGCCUGGAAUCCCCUCUUCGCCCUCUCCCUGCCACUCCCCAGCCUCCUCCUCCAAAACGAGUAUGAUCCCAUCUCCUAACACCAUAGAUUAGUUUUGGCCAUCGUCGUUGCACUUUACAAAACGAAAUCAUACAAUGUGUACAUUUUUGGUGUCUGGCUUGCUUUGCUUUUGAGAUUCAUCCACGUUGCCAUAGGUAGCAGUUAUGUAUCUAUUCGCAUUGCUAUUAUUGCUAUUAUUACAGCCCACCGUAUCCACCUGCUGCUGGUGGAGAUUUGGGUCAUUUCUAGUUUGUGGCUCUUCUUCUUGGUGUUCUGUUGCCUGUAUCUCUGUCUGGCAUAUACUUAAGGGUGGAAUUGCCAAGUCCUAUAGAGAGUAUGUGGCUCCGCUUUAAUAGGUAUCGUCAUGGAGGUUUACACAGUGGGUGUCUUAACUUCCUGUCCCCCACCCAGCAGUGCCCGAGCUUCCACCUCUCCGUGUCUUUCAUUGUGUCCCGCUAUCUCAUGGUGUUUUUUUGGUCGCAUUUCCCCCAUGGCUGCUGAGGUUAGGCCCAUUUCUGUACAUUCGUAAGCCAUUUAAAAAUCCUCUUUCAUGAAGUGCUUGUUUAAGUCUUUUGGGUCAUUUUUUUUGUUGCAUUAAAAAAUUUUUUUUGUAAGAGUUCUUAUAUUUAACUGUAAUACACUGCUGGAUAUAUUAAUUGCACAUAGCCUUCUCCUACUCUGUGGCUUGCAUUUUCACUCUCUAUUUCAUGAACAGAAGUUUCUAAUUUUAACAUAGUUUAAUAUACCAAUCCUUUCUCUUAUUGUUAGUUUUUCUUUUUUGUGUUGUCCUUAUGAAAUCUUUGGGGUGUGAGACGAGCAUCCUGGGGAAGACGUGAGGCAGCAGCAUGCCCGUCAGGACACCUUCCAUCUGAUCCCAAGAUGCUUGUGGAGCUCCACUGAGCUUGCAGGGCCUCUGUGUACCCUUGCAAUAACCUCAACCUUUCAUUUGAGCUCGUUUGAGUGGUUUCUGAUCCUUGCAAUCAAAAGAGUUUGGGACAAAGAUACUCCAGAUCAAAGAUUUUAUUUAUUCAUGAGAGAUGCAGCGAGAGAGGCAGAGACAUAGACAGAGGGACAAGCAGGCUCCCUGUGGGGAGCCUAACGUGGGACUCAAUCCCGGGACCCUGGGAUCACGCCCUGAGAUGAAGGCAGAUGCUCAACCACUGAGCUACCCACGAGUUACUACUGGGGUCUCCAAACCAUCAGAGACGUGGACUGACCUCCCAGCCAAGAAUUCCUUAACUUCAGGAUGCUGGUCCUGGAUAUUUUGGUUUGAUUGGGAUGGAUACAGCUACAGAGAACCUUGUUCUUCCCUGCAGAGCACUGGGGCUAUAGAUAUUCUGUCCUCGGGGCCAGGAAACUGGAUAUCCUGAUUCCUUCGCUUCCUGUCCCACCCACUCACUGGACCUGUGUGCCUAACAUCUGCAAUCAUUUGCAAAAUACAAGUUCCCAGGCCUGGAGGCGGCACUGUUUUCUUUCCUGCACACAUGCAAAGACCUUUGAGUCGGCAGCUCUGUUUUAUAAGGUUGCUACUUCCUGCCCUUGCUUUAUUACAUCUGUUCUUUGGGGCAUGGUGUUAUAAAUUGGGUAUGUGAUGAUGUGUAAUCACUAACUGAAAAGCCAAUACAUUUUCACUGUACCGGCAGCAAGACAAAUAAAAGGCAAAAUGAAAGGCUUGUGCUCUUUUGACAAAGGGAAAAGCACACAACACACAUAUUAAAGAAAAAA